UACGUAGGGACCAAGCGUUGUCCGGAGUCAUUGGGCGUAAAGAGCUCGUAGGCGGUUUGGUAAGUCGGGUGGGAAAUCUCCCCGCUCAACGUGGAGGGGCCACACGAUACUGCCAUGACUCGAGUCCGGUAGGGGAGUGUGGAAAUUCCGGUGUAGCGGUGAAAUGCGCAGAGAUCGGGAGGAACACCCGUAGCGAAGGCGGCACUCUGGGCCGGUACUGACGCUGAGGAGCGAAAGCGUGGGGAGCGAACAGG
rnacentral:rRNA from 1 species